AACGAACGCUGGCGGCAUGCCUAACACAUGCAAGUCGAGCGAGAAAGCACUUCGGUGUGAGUAGAGUGGCGCACGGGUGAGUAACACGUAGGUGACCUAUCGUACAGUGGGGGAUAACCAGAAGAAAUUCUGGCUAAUACCGCAUACGCAGUACAAUUUUGAAAGUAGUACUGGAAAGGAUGCUUCGGCAUUCACUGAACGAUGGGCCUGCGUAGCAUUAGUUUGAUGGUGGGGUAACGGCCUACCAUGACUACGAUGCUUAGCUGGUCUGAGAGGAUGAUCAGCCACACUGGAACUGAGACACGGUCCAG
rnacentral:rRNA from 1 species